UAAGGAAUAUUGGUCAAUGGAGGCAACUCUGAACCAGCCAUGCCGCGUGAAGGAUUAAGGCCCUCUGGGUUGUAAACUUCUUUUAUAUGGGAAGAAAUGUACUUUUUCUAAAGUGCUUGACGGUACCAUAGGAAUAAGCACCGGCUAACUCCGUGCCAGCAGCCGCGGUAAUACGGAGGGUGCAAGCGUUAUCCGGAUUUACUGGGUUUAAAGGGUGCGUAGGCGGAUGAAUAAGUCAGUGGUGAAAUCCCCGAGCUUAACUUGGGAACUGCCGUUGAUACUAUAUAUCUUGAAUAUCGUAGAGNUAAGCGGAAUAUGUCAUGUAGCGGUGAAAUGCUUAGAGAUGACAUAGAGCACCAAUUGCGAAGGCAGCUUACUAUGCGAUUAUUGACACUGAGGCACGAAAGCGUGGGGAUCAAACA
rnacentral:rRNA from 1 species